GACGAACGCUGGCGGCGUGCUUAACACAUGCAAGUCGAACGGAAAGGCCCUGCUUUCGUGGGGUGCCCGAGUGGCGAACGGGUGAGUAACACGUGAGUAACCUGCCCUUGACUUUGGGAUAACUUCAGGAAACUGGGCCUAAUACCGGAUAGGAGCUCCUGCUGCAGGGUGGGGGUGGGAAAGUUUCGGCGGGUGGGGAUGGAUUGGCGGCUUAACGGCUUGUUGGUGGGGUAGUGGUUUCCCAAGGGUUUGGCGGGUCGCCGGCCUGGGAGGGUGGCCGGCCACAUGGGGACUAAGAGAGGGCCCAGAGUCGAACGGGGGGCAGUGGUGGGAAAUAUUGCACAAUGGGCCGAAGCGGGUUGAGGCAGCGCCGGGUGCGGAAUGACGGCCUUCGGGUUGUAAACCGCUUUCGCCUGUGACGAAGCGUGAGUGACGGUAAUGGGUAAAGAAGCACCGGCUAACUACGUG
rnacentral:rRNA from 1 species